UGCUGAUGUAUUGAGGUAUUUCUAUGUACAAACAUUACUAUUGGAUGGAACCCUUGCUUAAAUACCGCAUAUUGUAAAUUACCUUUUUACAAAAGCUGUCCAUUUUUACAAACUCUAAAGAUGUUGACCUAUAUUCAUUAAAUCUCAAUUCCUUAUCAUGUAGGUCGAUAAUGAUUGACCGUGACCUUAAGGAACUCAAUGCCAUAAGAAGAGUUUUUCCAACAGCCAAGGUUCUUCUUUGCUGGUUUCAUGUACUCCAGGCUGUACAUAGGUGGAUGGUUAAAAGAGAUGGAGGAAACUUGCCAGUGAAUCAGUGGAAUCUUGUGAUUCAAGCAAUGGUUGGAAUGAAAUCCUGUUUAACGGAAGAAGAGUUCAACAGCAUGUCAUCCAGAAAGUGUGAAGAGCUCG